rnacentral:tRNA from 1 species
GAAGAGAUGACUCAGUGGUUAAGAGCACUGACUGCUCUUCCAGAGGUCCUGAGUUCAAUUCUCAGCAACCACA